UCGCGUUUUCGGAGCGGCCGAUAUCGGAUUAGCUAGUAGGUGAGGUAAAGGCUCACCUAGGCGACGAUCCGUAGCUGGUCUGAGAGGACGACCAGCCACACUGGAACUGAGACACGGUCCAGACUCCUACGAGAGGCAGCAGUGGGGAAUUUUGGACAAUGGGCGAAAGCCUGAUCCAGCCAUGCCGCGUGAGUGAAGAAGGCCUUCGGGUUGUAAAGCUCUUUCAGCCGGAAAGAAAACGCAUGGGUUAAUAACCUGUGUGGAUGACGGUACCGGAAGAAGAAGCACCGGCUAACUACGUGCCAGCAGCCGCGGUAAUACGUAGGGUGCGAGCGUUAAUCGGAAUUACUGGGCGUAAAGCGUGCGCAGGCGGUUUUGUAAGACAGAUGUGAAAUCCCCGGGCUUAACCUGGGAACUGCAUUUGUGACUGCAAGGCUAGAGUACGGCAGAGGGGGGUAGAAUUCCACGUGUAGCAGUGAAAUGCGUAGAUAUGUGGAGGAAUACCGAUGGCGAAGGCAGCCCCCUGGGUCGAUACUGACGCUCAUGCACGAAAGCGUGGGGAGCAAACAGGAUUAGAUACCCUGGUAGUUCACGCCCUAAACGAUGUCAACUAGGUGUUGGGGGAGGAGACUUCCUUAG
rnacentral:rRNA from 1 species